rnacentral:rRNA from 1 species
AACGUAGGACGCAAGCGUUAUCCGGAGUUACUGGGCGUAAAGCGCGGGCAGGCGGCUCGAAACGUCUGAUGUGAAAUCUCCUCGCUCAACGGGGAGAGGCCAUUGGAAACGGUCGAGCUGGAGGGCAGUAGAGGUAGGCGGAAUUCCGGGUGGAGUGGUGAAAUGCGUAGAUAUCGGGAGGAACACCAGUGGCGAAGGCGGCAUCCUGGCCCUGUCCUGACGCUCAGGGGCGAAAGCGUGGGGAGCAAACCGG